AAUACCGCGUGGGGGAGGAAGGCUCUUGGGUCGUAAACCCCUUUUCUCAGGGAAGAACACAAUGACGGUACCUGAGGAAUCAGCAUCGGCUAACUCCGUGCCAGCAGCCGCGGUAAUACGGAGGAUGCAAGCGUUAUCCGGAAUCAUUGGGCGUAAAGCGUCCGUAGGUGGUGCUUCAAGUCUGCUGUUAAAGCCCGGGGCUCAACCCUGGAGGAGCAGUGGAAACUGGAGUACUAGAGUGCGGNAGGGGUAGAGGGAAUUCCCGGUGUAGCGGUGAAAUGCGUAGAUAUCGGGAAGAACACCAGUGGCGAAAGCGCUCUACUGGACCGUAACUGACACUGAUGGACGAAAGCUAGGGAGCG
rnacentral:rRNA from 1 species